rnacentral:rRNA from 1 species
GAUGAACGCUGACAGAAUGCUUAACACAUGCAAGUCUACUUGAAUUUGGGUUUUUAACUUAGGUUUGGGUGGCGGACGGGUGAGUAACGCGUAAAGAACUUGCCUCACAGCUAGGGACAACAUUUAGAAAUGAAUGCUAAUACCUAAUAUUAUGAUAAUAGGGCAUCCUAUAAUUAUGAGAGCUAUAUGCGCUGUGAGAGAGCUUUGCGUCCCAUUAGCUAGUUGGAGAGGUAACGGCUCACCAAGGCGAUGAUGGGUAGCCGGCCUGAGAGGGUGAUCGGCCACAAGGGGACUGAGACACGGCCCUUACUCCUACGGGAGGCAGCAGUGGGGAAUAUUGGACAAUGGACCGAGAGUCUGAUCCAGCAAUUCUGUGUGCACGAUGAAGUUUUUCAGAAUGUAAAGUGCUUUCAGUUGGGAAGAAAGAAAUGACGGUACCAACAGAAGAAGUGACGGCUAAAUACGUGCCAGCAGCCGCGGUAAUACGUAUGUCACGAGCGUUAUCCGGAUUUAUUGGGCGUAAAGCGCGUCUAGGUGGUUAUGUAAGUCUGAUGUGAAAAUGCAGGGCUCCACUCUGUAGUGCGUUGGAAACUGUGUGACUACAGUACUGGAGAGCUAAGCGGAACUACCAGGGUGUGGGUGAAAUCUAGAUCUCUGCCCGAAUGGCCAAGGAGA